rnacentral:lncRNA from 1 species
AAACACUUCACAUAAAACAGAUAUUUCAAAAUCUUUGUCUCACUGUUUUUGUUGUUUGUUUUUUUUUUUUUAGUGAAAGAAAAAUUAAAAGGAAAAAGGAAAGUGAAGAAAUUAAUUAUACCAGAUUUCAGCGAAGCUCAAGACAUUUUCUUCCGGAAAGAUGUCAAACAACUGAGACACAGCAACAGAGGAAGUAGAAAGGUGGAAAAAUAAGAAGAGGGACCCUUUGGAAGAAAUGAAGGCAUUCCUUAUGAGAGCCUUGAGGUUUUUUUGGUUUUGUUUUUUUUUUCUUCUAACAUCUGACCCACA